GUGUUUGCUUUGGCAGCACAGAUACUAAAAUUGGAACAGUGCAGAGAUUAGCAUGGCCCCUGCACAAGGAUGACACACAAAUUCAUGAAUGGUUCCAUAGUGUU